GACGAACGCUGGCGGCGCGCUUAACACAUGCAAGUCGAACGGAAAGGCCCUGCUUUUGUGGGGUGCUCGAGUGGCGAACGGGUGAGUAACACGUGAGUAACCUGCCCUUGACUUUGGGAUAACUUCAGGAAACUGGGGCUAAUACCGGAUAGGAGCUCCUGCUGCAUGGUGGGGGUUGGAAAGUUUCGGCGGUUGGGGAUGGACUCGCGGCUUAUCAGCUUGUUGGUGGGGUAGUGGCUUACCAAGGCUUUGACGGGUAGCCGGCCUGAGAGGGUGACCGGCCACAUUGGGACUGAGAUACGGCCCAGACUCCUACGGGAGGCAGCAGGGGGGAAUAUUGCACAAUGGGCGGAAGCCUGAUGCAGCAACGCCGCGUGCGGGAUGACGGCCUUCGGGUUGUAAACCGCUUUCGCCUGUGACGAAGCGUGAGUGACGGUAAUGGGUAAAGAAGCACCGGCUAACUACGUG
rnacentral:rRNA from 1 species